rnacentral:rRNA from 1 species
UCGAGGGAGAAGCUUUCGGGCUGAAACCGGCGCACGGGUGCGUAACGCGUAUACAAUCUGCCUUUCACAUAGGGAUAGCCCGAAGAAAUUUGGAUUAAUACCUAAUGGUAUAUAAGAGCGGCAUCGUUUUUAUAUUAAAGCUACGGUGGUGAAAGAUGAGUAUGCGUUCUAUUAGCUAGUUGGAGAGGUAACGGCUCCCCAAGGCGACGAUAGAUAGGGGUUCUGAGAGGGAUGUCCCCUACACUGGUACUGAGAUACGGACCAGACUCCUACGGGAGGCAGCAGUGAGGAAUAUUGGACAAUGGUCGGAAGACUGAUCCAGCCAUGCCGCGUGCAGGAUGAAGGUCCUAUGGAUUGUAAACUGCUUUUGUAAGGGAAGAAUAAGGAGUACGUGUACUUUGAUGACGGUACCUUACGAAUAAGCAUCGGCUAACUCCGUGCCAGCAGCCGCGGUAAUACGGAGGAUGCGAGCGUUAUCCGGAAUCAUUGGGUUUAAAGGGUCCGUAGGCGGGCUAAUAAGUCAGGGGUGAAAUCGUUCAGCUCAACUGAGCAACUGCCUUUGAAACUGUUAGUCUUGAAUAGUUGUGAAGUAGUUGGAAUGUGUAGUGUAGCGGUGAAAUGCUUAGAGAUUACACAGAACACCGAUAGCGAAGGCAUAUUACUAACAAUUGAUUGACGCUGAUGGACGAAAGCGUGGGGAGCGAACAGGAUU